rnacentral:rRNA from 1 species
GACGAACGCUGGCGGCGUGCUUAACACAUGCAAGUCGAACGGAAAGGCCCUGCUUGCCGGGUACUCGAGUGGCGAACGGGUGAGUAACACGUGGGUGAUCUGCCCUGCACUUCGGGAUAAGCCUGGGAAACUGGGUCUAAUACCGGAUAGGAGCCAUUUUUAGUGUGAUGGUUGGAAAGAUUUUUCGGUGUAGGAUGAGCUCGCGGCCUAUCAGCUUGUUGGUGGGGUAAUGGCCUACCAAGGCGGCGACGGGUAGCCGGCCUGAGAGGGUGGACGGCCACAUUGGGACUGAGAUACGGCCCAGACUCCUACGGGAGGCAGCAGUGGGGAAUAUUGCACAAUGGGCGCAAGCCUGAUGCAGCGACGCCGCGUGGGGGAUGACGGCCUUCGGGUUGUAAACUCCUUUCGCUAGGGACGAAGCUUUUUGUGACGGUACCUAGAUAAGAAGCACCGGCUAACUACGUG